GCAUAUAUCAGUUUACGACUGUAUGUUUAGACACGUCAUAGUCUACUUCACGUGAAAGACGUAUCUUUAUAAGUAUGACAACUAUACUCCAACAACCGGAUUAUCAUCUUUUGUUGAAUGAAUUGAACAAAGAUUAUGUCGGCGCCCAUCAAAUCAUACAUUUAUUGGAGAGUUAUAUGAGAGAGAAAAUACCGGAAAUAGAAAUAAUUUUAGAUAAAUGGCCCAUGUUUAAUGUGGUUGUAGCUAAACCGGUGGGUUUACAACAGCAUAUGUUGUAUCUGAAGAAUUAUUUGAUAUUUACGAAGAAUAAUAAAAACCUAGAACAAGUUUUAACAUCAGAGGGUACAGUAGAUUGGAGUACAAAUGGCAUGUUUAUAGUUCCACAAGAGAAAGAUUAUGUUAGUGUACAGAAAGUUAUAGAAGAUAAACAACAAUCUGAUUUUAGUAAUAACAUGUUUCAAUUAACAUGUUUUAGUUUAAACGCUAAAGAUCUUAUAAUUCACCCAGUUCCUGAUGGGAUGACUUUAAGACCAAUUCCACAUGACAUGGUAGACACGUUAAUGGCUAACUGGGAAUAUUCGGAUGAAGUUAAACCGAUCUAUUUUAAUUAUCUCAUAGAUAAUUAUAAAACUCUAGCUCUUUAUGACGUCGAUGAUUCAUUAAUAGGAUAUAUGCUAGAAACACAUUAUGGUGCCAUCGGUAUGCUUAGAAUUCUACCGGAGAAAAGAGGCAAAGGAUAUUCUAAAAUAAUACUUUCUAAUCUGUGUAAAACCAUAUUUGAAAAUGGCGCCGAUGUGUUGACCUCGGGUAUAGCACCGUCCAAUGUAAUAUCUAUAAAUUUACAUCUAAAAUUGGGAUUUAAAAAAACUAACUCUGUUGAAGGUUGGUUUAAAUUUUCUGGACAGAGUUCCACCACAUGAGUCCUUUUUUUAUAAACAAUAUUUUUAUUCAAUAUAUAUCUGAAUUAGGAUUGGGGAAGAGGCUAUGCCUUUGUGUAACCCCUCUUUCUGAUUUAGAUACGUGUACACAUUAUAAAUAUACAUUAUAUACCGGUACACAAUUAAACAAAUAUAUAAUGAAUGAUAUUUUUAUUAAUUUUGUAACAGGUAGAGAUCUAUUCUGGAAGUAGUGUUUGAUAUUGGUUGUUGGGUAUGGUAAGGCCCGUGCAGCGUUCGGGCAUAAUUACCCAUAGCACAUUGUCGGAGCAGAGCAGUACUGUAGGACGUAAACUCAUUUCAUUUCAUUACCUCCAAAUCUCACAAACCAGUUGGGAGAGUCGAGGAUAUACGAUGAUUUUACGGUGUGCGGGGGUAAAAAUAACUUAACAAUUGUUU